GACGAACGCUGGCGGCGUGCUUAACACAUGCAAGUCGAACGGAAAGGCCCUGCUUUUGUGGGGUGCUCGAGUGGCGAACGGGUGAGUAACACGUGAGUAACCUGCCCUUGACUUUGGGAUAACUUCAGGAAACUGGGGCUAAUACCGGAUAGGAGCUCCUGCUGCAUGGUGGGGAUUGGAAAGUUUCGGCGGUUGGGGAUGGACUCGCGGCUUAUCAGCUUGUUGGUGGGGUAGUGGCUUACCAAGGCUUUGACGGGUAGUCGGCCUGAGAGGGUGACCGGCCACAUUGGGACUGAGAUACGGCCCAGACUCCUACGGGAGGCAGCAGUGGGGAAUAUUGCACAAUGGGCGGAAGCCUGAUGCAGCAACGCCGCGUGCGGGAUGACGGCCUUCGGGUUGUAAACCGCUUUCGCCUGUGACGAAGCGUGAGUGACGGUAAUGGGUAAAGAAGCACCGGCUAACUACGUG
rnacentral:rRNA from 1 species